rnacentral:rRNA from 1 species
GAUGAACGCUGGCGGCGUGCCUAAUACAUGCAAGUCGAGCGAACAGACGAGGAGCUUGCUCCUCUGACGUUAGCGGCGGACGGGUGAGUAACACGUGUAUAACCUACCUAUAAGACUGGGAUAACUUCGGGAAACCGGAGCUAAUACCGGAUAAUAUAUUGAACCGCAUGGUUCAAUAGUGAAAGACGGUUUUGCUGUCACUUAUAGAUGGAUCCGCGCCGCAUUAGCUAGUUGGUAAGGUAACGGCUUACCAAGGCAACGAUGCGUAGCCGACCUGAGAGGGUGAUCGGCCACACUGGAACUGAGACACGGUCCAGACUCCUACGGGAGGCAGCAGUAGGGAAUCUUCCGCAAUGGGCGAAAGCCUGACGGAGCCACGCCGCGUGAGUGAUGAAGGUCUUCGGAUCGUAAAACUCUGUUAUUAGGGAAGAACAAAUGUGUAAGUAACUAUGCACGUCUUGACGGUACCUAAUCAGAAAGCCACGGCUAACUACGUG